UUCGUAGGUGAACCUGCGGAAGGAUCAUUAAUGAAUUUAUAAUCCGGCGAGACGAAGGACGAGGACUGUCGCUGGCCUUCAACCGAGGCAUGUGCACGCUCUCUUCUGGACUUUCGCCGUAUGGGCGCGGGGCGACCCGCGUCUUCAUAUACCUCUUCGUGUAGAAAGUCUUCGAAUGUUUUUACCAUCAUCGAGUCGCGACUUCUAGGAGACGCGAUUCUUUGAGACAAAAGUUAUCACAACUUUCAGCAAUGGAUCUCUUGGCUCUCGCAUCGAUGAAGAACGCAGCGAAUCGCGAUAUGUAAUGUGAAUUGCAGAUCUACAGUGAAUCAUCGAAUCUUUGAACGCACCUUGCGCUCCUCGGUGUUCCGAGGAGCAUGCCUGUUUGAGCGUCAGUAAAUUCUCAACCCCUCUCGAUUUGCUUCGAGUGGGGCUUGGAUAGUGGGGGCUGCCGGAGACCUGAAAUUCAUUUCGGGACUCGGGCUCCUCUGAAAUGCAUCGGCUUGCGGUCGACUUUCGACUUUGCGCGACAAAGCUUUCGGCGUGAUAAUGAUCGCCGUUCGCUGAAGCGCAUCAAUGAACCGUCCCGUGCCUCUAAUCAGUCGACGCCUUCUGGGCGUCUUCCUUAUAGACGUUUGACCUCAAAUCAGGUAGGACUACCCGCUGAACUUAAGCAUAUCAAUAAGCGGAGGA
rnacentral:rRNA from 1 species